ensembl:lncRNA
GCAGAGAUUGAAACAGUUUGGAGGGCUCAGAAGAAGACAGGAAAAUAGGAAAGUUUGCAACUUCCUCAAGACUUGUUGAAUGGCUUUGACAAAAAUACUGAUAAUUAUAUGGACAAUGAAAUCUAGGCUGAGGUGGUCUCAGGUGGAGAUGAGGAACCUAUUGAGAACUGGAGCAAAGGUGACUCUUGUUAUGUUUUAGCAAAGAGACUGGUGGCAUUUUGCCCCUGCCCUGGAGAUUUGUGGAACUUUGAACUUGAGAGAGAUGAUUUAGGGUAUCUGGUGGAAGAAAUUUCUAAGCAGCAAAGCAUUCAAGAGGUGACUCAAGUGUUAUUAAAGGCAUUCAGUUUUAAAAGGGAAGCAGAGCAUUAAAGUUCAGAAAAUUAGCAGCUUGACAAUGCGAUAAAAAAGAAAAUCCCAUUUUCUGAGGAGAAAUUCAAGCUGGCUGUAGAUAUUUGCGUAAGUCACAAGAAGCUGAAUGUUAAUUUCCAAAACAAUAGGAAAAAUGUCUCCAGGGCAUGUCAGAGAUGUUUGUGGCAGCCUCUCCUAUGGCAGACCUGGAGAUCUAGGAGGAAAAAAUGGUUUCGUGUGCAGGGCCCAGGGUCCUUGUGCUGUGUGCAGUCUAAGGACUUGGUGCCCUGUUUCCUAGCCACUCCAGCCAUGACUGAAAGAGGCCAACAUAAAGCUCGGGCCAUGGCUUCAGAGGGUGAAAGCCUUAAGCCUUGGCAACUUCCAUGUGAUGCUGAGCGUGCAGGUGCAUAAAAGUCAAGAAUUGGGGUUUGGGAACCUCUGCCUAGAUUUCAGAAGACACAUGGAAAUGCCCGGAUGUCCAGGCAGAAGUUUGCUGCAGGGGCAGGGCUGUCAUGGAGAACCUCUUCUAGGGCAGUGCAGAAGGGAAAUGUGCGGUUGGAGCCCCCACACAGAGUCCCUACUGGGACACCGCCUAGUGGAGCUGUGAGAAGAGGACCACCAUCCUCCAGACCCCAGAAUGGCAGAUCAACUUACAGCUUGUACCAGGUGACUGGAAAAGCUGCAGACACUCAACACUAGCCCAUGAAAGCAGCCAGGAUGGAGGCUGUACCCUGAAAGCCACAGGGCCAGAGCUGUCCAAGACCAUGAGAACCCACCUCUUGCAUCAGUGUGACCUGAAUGUGAGACCUGGAGUCAAAGGAGAUCAUUUUGGAGCUUUAAAAUGUUACUGCCCUGCUGGAUUUUGGACUUGCAUGGGCCCUGUAACCCCUUUGUUUUGGCCAAUUUCUCCCAUUUGGAAUGGCUGUAUUUACCCGAUACCUGUACCCUCAUUGUAUGUAGGAAGUAACUAGCUUGCCUUUGAUUUCACAGGCUCAUAGGUGGAAGGGACUUGCCUUGUCUCAGAUGAUACUUUUGAACUAUGGACUUUUGGAUUAAAGGUGAAAUGAGUUAAGACUUUGGAGUACUGUUGGGAAUGCAUGAUUGAUUUUGAAAUGUGAGGACAUAAGAUUUGGAGGGGCCAGGAGUAGGAUGAUAUGGUUUGGCUCUGUGUACCCACCCAAAUUUCAUUUUGUAUUGUAUUCCCAUAAUUCCCAUGUGUUAUAGGAGGGACCUGGUGGGAAAUAAUUUGAAUCAUGGGAGUGGUUUCCCCUCUACUGUUCUCAUGGUAGAGAAUAAGCCUCAUGAGAUUUGAUGGUUUUAUCAGGGGGUUCCGAUUUUGCAUCUUACUCAUUUUCUCUUGCUGCCACCCUGUAAGAAGUAUCUUUAACCUACCGCCAUGAUUCUGAGGCCUCCCCAGCCAUGUGGAACUGUAAGUCCAAUUAAACCUCUUUUUCUUCCCAGUCUUGGGUAUGUCUUUAUCAGCAGUGAUUCUGUUCCUAUGAAAUAUCUAGAACAGGCAAAUCUAUGAGACAUAAAGUAAUUAAGUGGUUGCUCAGGGGAUACAGCAGUAGGGGAUGAUAACUAAAGGGUUGGGAGGGUGUUUUUGAAAUGCUAAAAUAUUCUAAAGUUGAUUGUGGUUAUGGUUGCACAUACUUAUGAAUAUACCUAAAAACAUUGAAUUGUACAUUUUAAGUAGGGGAAUUGUAUCUAAUUUGAACCAUAUCUCAGUAAUGAUAUAAAAAUGUUUUUGGAUACUAAGACCAAACUAGAAAGAACACAAGAGCAAAUACAUAUUAGAUAAGAAGAAAAGAGUAAGAAGAAUGUAAAUAUUUUAAAAAAUAAAAAGGAGGCCUGUCUUCCCAAAGUGCUGGGAUUAUGGGCAUGAGCCACCACGCCAGGCCACAAGAUCUUUCCAAAGGAGAAAAUGGCAAUUUCACUCUUCUUUGUAAGACUGAUUUUUAAGGCAAUCACAGUUUCUGUCCUAUCCACUAGUACUUCACUCUACACCUAAAGAUUGUUAACUCCCCAAAAUAAUUAUAUAUGAACCAGGUGGAAGACUAUCAGAAGCAACAUGAGUCCUGGAAGGUGUCAUUUCCUUAAGUAAAGUUCUAUGAGGGGAAACCGGAACAAGAGGGUUAUUAGCAGUUUAUGCUAAGGGUUUAUAACAUUCAUGCUUUCAGGGUUUUUUUAGAAUGUGAGAAAACCAGGCUUGAGAAAAUCAUAUCUUAGAUAAUCCAUGCUAGGAAAAAAACAAGUAAACACUGGGAAUUUAAUUACGAGUUGUACACAUGACCCAUCUAGGUAUACAUCUGAAAAGGAAUUAGAACAGCACCCAAACAGGCAAAGAAUAGGGCCAAAGACAGUUUAUAUACCUGUCUGUUGAGAAGAUCAGGGCGAGGUUACUCCUCAUUCAAAACAGCAAAUUUUAAAAAUCCAAAAUAAGAUUUAUUCUAGCAUAAUACAAACAUAUAAGGAAAGGAGGAAUAUCAUUCCAAGGAUCCUAGAGGAAGAGCAAAGCUGUUCUCAUUGGUUUUAAUUUGCACUUGUCUGAUGUCUAACCAAGUUGAACAUGUUAACACUUGCUCAUUGGCUAUUGGUAUAUUGUCUUCUGUAGGAUAUCUGUUUAAUAUUUUGCCCAUUUUUAAUUGGGUUGUUUUUAUAUUGAGUUGUAAGCUUUAUGUAUUCUGGAUACAAGACCUUGGUCAGAUAUGUUUUGUGAACAUUUUAUUCGAAUUUGUGAUAAAUCUUACAUGCAUUUUUGCAGUUGUUAUUGCUUAGUUCAAGAAUAAGCUUAGAGAAAUAUGUCAAUUUAAGUUUGACCAAAAUAAAAAUGUAAAAUAAGUAAUAGUACAUGCAGCAACUGUGAAGUUGAUGUGUGAAUAACUGAAACAAGGAAGAACUCCAAUGGCAGAAUGGGGAUAACUUUUGGAGCAGAUAGACCUGAAAGGUAAGCAAUUAAUGACAAACAGGGCCAUGAUGAGACACCUUCAAGUUUCGUCCAAUAAUAUACACAUUAAAUCAUGCAAGUCAUAAUUCUAGCCAUGAAGGCAAAGAACAUACAGACAUUGCAUAAGCUUGGCUAGGUUAGGAGAAACAAACCACUUACAUGUUGUAGUACAUUUUGUUCAUUGCUUUAUAAACCAAAAAGUAUCUGAGACAGGUCUCAAUCAAUUUAUAAGUUUAUUUUGCCAAGGUUAAGGACAUGCCCAGAAGAAAAAAAACACAAAGUCACAGAAACAGUCUGUGGUCUGUGCCUUUCUCCAAAGAUGAAUUUAAAAGCUUAAAUAUUUAAAGGGGGAAAGUGGGCUGCAGGGGAAAAAGGGAAGGGAUAGUAAUCCCCUUGUUGCAAGAGAAAAGGAACAGGUAGGGGAAUAGUCAAUUAUGUAUUCAUCUCAUGCUCAGUAAAUCAGCACUUUACCUAAGAUAAGGUGAACACAGAGUAGCUAUUUGGAGAUAUUUAUCCUUUUAUAUGUAGCUAUUUGCUUAGGAACAAAAGGAAAGGUAGCAUCUUGCAUGACACAGCUUUAAGCUUAAUUUUUUCCUUUUGGCAUAGUGAAUUGGGGUCCAAGUUUUUCUUUUCCUUUCACAUUUAUCCCCCUUUUCAUUUUAAAAUCUUUCAGAGAAGGCAUUUUAAAAGAACUGAUUCUCUGGUCUUGGCUUUUGCCUGAUCUUUUAUGACUAUGACAGUUUAUUCCUAGAUGGAUAGGUCCCAUGUUGUUAGGCAAGCUCAUUUUUAGUAGGUUGUGAAAUCCCACAUCCCAUGAAGUAGAAUUAGGGGGAGUAAGGGAGAAAGAGAACAGAGAAAAAAGGAGGAAAUGAGAAACAAAAAAGGGAGAACAAUCCUAGAAAACUGAUAUAGGCAUAUUACCCUGAAGUCCAUGUAUCAGUAGGCAGGUAUGAAAAUGGUUUAUGUAUAUAAAUACGUUGCUAUUAUUUUCCAUUGAAGUUUAAGUUGCCUAGCUUCAGUUCACAGGGCUUUAAGAAAAGUGCAGCUUAAUUUUUUUUUUAUCUGUGCCCACAGAUACCUGAAUGAAUUUGGUUAAUUCCUCCCUUUUUGAGGUCCCAAGAAAACUUGGGGUUCCUGGACCUGUCAGAAAGUGACAUUCCUUACUUACCAGAAGUUAGAACCCCAUAAAGGACAAGAUAUGAGGCCAGCUUUUCCAAGGGGCUUUUAUCAGUUCCAUAAGUCAGCCUCAUUUUCUCAAGGCCAUCUGAAACUAUGUCAUUCCAGUCAAAAUCUCCAUAAAAUAACCAUGUGUCCCAUUGUGUCUGGUUAUGAAAUAAAUUCUUAUUGAACUUAUGCAAAUAACUAUAUUGCCAUAAGUUAAGAAUACUCACAAAUAGUUUCCAAAUGUUUGAGGAAUUAGGUAGAAAGAAAUUAUGUUUUAAAUCUUGCUUAUUAGAGUAUACUUUACUCAAUUUUUGAAAGCUAUAAAUAGCUUAAAAGAAGAGAAAGUUUUCUUGACUCUGACAAAACAAAAAGAAUCAGCAAAUGUUUUAAACAAGUUAUAAAAUAGUAUUUCAGUAUCUAUUCAGUUCUGUUCUGCUUGAUAUUGGAUCAGUAAACUUCUUGAAUACAUUCAGCUCUCCAUAAAAGUUCUGGAAGUUUUUCACUCUAUUCCAAUGGCACAAUUUCUUUUUUUAUCUUUUUUUUUUUUAAGACAGAAUUUCACUUGUUGCCCAGAUGGGAGUGCAAUGGCAUGAUCUCAGCUCACUGCAACCUCCACCUCCUGGGUUCAAGUGAUUCUCCUGCCUCAGCCUCCUUAGUAGCUGGGAUUACAGGGGCCCACCACCAUGCAUGGCUAAUUUUUUGUAUAUUUAGUAGAGACAAGAUUUCACCAUGUUGGCCAGGCUGGUCUUGAACUCCUAACCUCAGGUGAUCCACCCGCCUUGGCCUCCCAAAGUGCUGGGAUUACAGGCAUGACCCACCAUUCCUGGCCUAAUGGCACAAUUUCUAAAUUUAUCAGAAACCUAUAUUUAAGAAUACUCCUUAAAUACACCAUUUCAUAUCUGGCAAUACUUCCUGUAUGAUUUGAUUAUACCAAGUAAGCCAAAUAUGUCUCUUUUGGACUUCAGGGGACCUAAUAUCAAAAAAGUAAUGAGGUCAAAAGAUUGAAUUUAGAAUUUGAUUUUGGAAUGUUUUUCAAAAAACAAAAGUUUAAAACACUUGAUAUCACAAAAUAGGAUCACAGGUCAUUGUAAAAUAAGUCAUUCAUUUAGCCAAAGUGA